GACAACGGCCAUACCAUGUUGAAAAUACUGGUUCUCGUUCGAUCACCGAAGUCAAGCAACAUUGGGCACAGUCAGUACCUGGAUGGGUGACCGCUUGGGAACACUGUGUGCUGUUGUCU